rnacentral:rRNA from 1 species
UACGUAGGGUGCGAGCGUUAAUCGGAAUUUACUGGGCGUAAAGCGUGUUCAGGCGGCCUGGCAAGUCGGGCCAUGAAAUCUCUCGGCUCAACCGAGAGAGGCUGUCCGAUACUGCUGGGCUUGAGGACGGUAGAGGGUGGUGGAAUUCCGCGUGUAGUGGUGAAAUGCGUAGAUAUGCGGAGGAACACCAGUGGCGAAGGCGGCCACCUGGACCGUCCCUGGCGCUCAAACACGAAAGCUAGGGUAGCGAACGGGGA